rnacentral:rRNA from 1 species
CCCCGACGAGUAGGGUGGCGUGCCGGUGAGCGUUGAAGGCCAAGACGUGAGUCAGGCUGGAGCCCCCGGUAGUGCAGAUCUUGGUGGUAGUAGCAAGUACUCUGGUGAACCAACCUGGAGCUGUGAGGUCUGGAUUAGGGUUCCAUGUCAACAGUGAUUGAACAUGGGUAAGUCGAACCUAAGCCAACUGUGAAAGCAGUGACAUCCCGACAAAGGUGCAUUAGGGGGUGUGCCCGGCGUGCUCUCUCUCACACACACGGACAGGACGCAUACAAAAAAGUUUCUCUUGAAUACGCUCAAGGUGUGAGAGAGAAAAAGUAUACGCUCGAGAUGCGCACACUAUGCUCCCUGCGUUGGUUCUAUGUCUGGCGAAAGGGAAUGGGGACUUUGUUCCUUGACCGGUCCCGGCACCCUCGAUAGGCGCCAUUCAAUGGUCCAUGCAAAUGGAACCAGGCUACAGCCGCCGGCAGUCGCCCGAGGAAGAGUUUUCUUUUCUGCUUAACGCACGAGAUCAUCCCUGGAAACAGUUCGGCUGGCGAAAGGGUGCCCCGUUGCGGCAGAGCGCCACGACUGUCGUGCGCGUCUCGGUGUUCCUGCCGGUCCGUGAAGACGUGGUCGAGGGGAUUGCCUUGUAUGAACGAAACGCCCGACAAGUUCGGGACGGACCGUACCCUAUAUCCGCAUCUGGUCUCCAAGGUUCGUAGCCUCUGCAGAGUCAGACACAUGUAGGUAAGGGAAGUCGGCAAACUCGAUCCGUAACUUCGGGAAAAGGAUUGGCUCUGAGGGCCGAGCUGGGCCGGGCCUUGCCUGCAAAGCAGUACCUAUAGUGACCGGAGUUUUAGGAGUGCGAGGGGCUCUAGUAGCUGCCUGCGUUCACGCGUGGGCACGAACGAGUCUACCGCUCCGCUCCAACCACGAACGGCUGUGACGGCAAGGGCUCUGGGCGGGAGCGUUCUAUCCGUUCGCAGCUCGUCUGUGGGGCAGCGGUGCUCCGUCUGACCCAUAMGGSUCCMGCGGCUAGCGGCUAACUCAGAACUGUCAUGGACCAAGGGAAUCCGACUGUCUAAUUAAAACAAAGCGUCGUGACGGCCC